AUGAUCCAGAGUACCACGGGACACGUGAAACCCUGUGGGAAGCAGGAGGGACCACCCUCCAAGGCUAAAUACUACCUAGUGACCGAUAGCGUAUAGUACCGUGAGGGAAAGGUGAAAAGAACCCCGGGAGGGGAGUGAAAUAGAACCUGAAACCCUGCACUUACAAGCUGUGGAAGCACAUUUCUUGUGUGACCGCGUACUUUUUGUAGAACGGGCCAACGAGUUACGUUAAGUAGCAAGGUUAAGCACUUAAGGUGCGGAGCCGUAGCGAAAGCGAGUUUUAACUGAGCGUUCAGUUACUUGACGUAGACCCGAAACCGGGCGACCUACCCAUGAGCAGGAUGAAGCGAAAGUAAAAUUUCGUGGAGGUCCGAACCCACGAGCGUUGAAAAGCUCGGGGAUGACUUGUGGGUAGCGGUGAAAUUCCAAUCGAGCCCGGAGAUAGCUGGUUCUCCCCGAAAUAGCUUUAGGGCUAGCCUCAAGGUGAGAGAUACGGAGGUAGAGCACUGAAUGUCCUAGGGGGUAUUGCACCUACCGAAGACUAUCAAACUCCGAAUGCCGUCAUCUUAUACUUGGGAGUCAGACUGUGGGUGAUAAGAUUCAUAGUCGAAAGGGCAACAGCCCAGAUCGUCAGCUAAGGUCCCUAAAUGUAAGUUAAGUGGUAAAGGAUGUGGGAUUGCACAGACAACCAGGAUGUUGGCUUAGAAGCAGCCACUCAUUCAAAGAGUGCGUAAUAGCUCACUGGUCGAGUGAUCCUGCGCCGAAGAUUUCCGGGGCUAAAACUUACUACCGAAGCUACGGCAUCAGUAAUGAUGGGUAGGGGAGCUUCCCAUACGGGUUGAAGCAUGACCGUAAGGACAUGUGGACAGUAUGGGAGUGAGAAUGUUGGCAUGAGUAGCGAGAUGUGGGUGAGAAUCCCACAGGCCGUAAACCCAAGGUUUCCAGGGGAAGGUUCGUCCGCCCUGGGUUAGUCGGGACCUAAGCUGAGGCCGAAAGGCGUAGGUGAUGGACAACAGGUUGAUAUUCCUGUACUACCGAUAACCGUUUGAGAGAAGGGAUGACACAGUAGGAUAAGCUAAGCACACUGUUGGUUAUGUGUGCCCAAGCAUUGAGGCAGUCAAAGUAGGCAAAUCCGCUUUGAUAAUGCUGGGAUGUGAUGGGGAGCGAAAUUUAGUAGCGAAGUAGCUGAUUUCACACUGUCAAGAAAAGUCUCUAUCGAGGUUAAAGGUACCCGUACCGCAAACCGACACAGGUGGGUGAGGAGAGUAUCCUAAGGCCAGCGAGAGAACUGUUGUUAAGGAACUCGGCAAAAUGACCCCGUAACUUAGGGAUAAGGGGUGCCACCAUCAGGUGGCCGCAGAGAAUAGGCCCAAGCGACUGUUUACCAAAAACAUAGGUUUCUGCUAAGUCGCAAGACGAUGUAUAGGAGCUGACGCCUGCCCGGUGCUGGAAGGUUAAGGGGAUCUGUUAGAGCAAUCGAAGCAGUGAACUUAAGCCCCAGUAAACGGCGGCCGUAACUAUAACGGUCCUAAGGUAGCGAAAUUCCUUGUCGGGUAAGUUCCGACCCGCACGAAAGGCGUAACGAUUUGGGCACUGUCUCAACAACAGACUCGGUGAAAUUGUAAUUCCGGUGAAGAUGCCGGAUACCUGCGACAGGACGGAAAGACCCCAUGGAGCUUUACUGUAGCUUGACAUUGGGUCUUGGUACUACAUGUACAGGAUAGGUGGGAGGCUUUGAAACCAGGACGCCAGUUUUGGCGGAGCCAUCCUUGGGAUACCACCCUUGUAGUACUGGGACUCUAACCAUAGGCCAUGAAUCUGGUCUUGGGACACUGUCAGGUGGGCAGUUUGACUGGGGCGGUCGCCUCCCAAAAGGUAACGGAGGCGCUCAAAGGUUCUCUCAGUACGGUCGGAAAUCGUACGUAGAGUGUAAAGGCAAAAGAGAGCUUGAUUGCAAGACAUACAGGUCGAGCAAGGAUGAAAAUCGGACUUAGUGAUCCGGUGGUUCUGCGUGGAAGGGCCAUCGCUCAACGGAUAAAAGCUACCCUGGGGAUAACAGGCUUAUCUCCCCCAAGAGUCCACAUCGACGGGGAGGUUUGGCACCUCGAUGUCGGCUCAUCACAUCCUGGGGCUGUAGUAGGUCCCAAGGGUUGGGCUGUUCGCCCAUUAAAGUGGUACGCGAGCUGGGUUCAGAACGUCGUGAGACAGUUCGGUCCCUAUCCGUCGCAGGCGUAGGAAAUUUGAGAAGACCUGUCCUUAGUACGAGAGGACCGGGAUGGACGUACCUCUGGUGUACCAGUUGUUCUGCCAAGGGCAUGGCUGGGUAGCUAUGUACGGAAUGGAUAAGCGCUGAAAGCAUCUAAGCGCGAAGCCAACUUCAAGAUAAGAUUUCCCACCGCAAGGGUAAGACCCCAGAAAGACUAUCUGGUUGA
rnacentral:rRNA from 1 species